UACGUAGGGUGCGAGCGUUAAUCGGAAUUACUGGGCGUAAAGCGUGCGCAGGCGGUUAUGUAAGACAGAUGUGAAAUGCCCGGGCUUAACCUGGGAACUGCAUUUGUGACUGCAUCGCUGGAGUGCGGCAGAGGGGGAUGGAAUUCCGCGUGUAGCAGUGAAAUGCGUAGAUAUGCGGAGGAACACCGAUGGCGAAGGCAAUCCCCUGGGCCUGCACUGACGCUCAUGCACGAAAGCGUGGGGAGCAAACAGG
rnacentral:rRNA from 1 species